rnacentral:lncRNA from 1 species
CUGUAUUUUUGUAUACAGCGGGGGAUCAGUCUGGUCACCCCGCCCCCGCUGGCUGUAUCCGCAAAAUCAAACCGUUCCCGUGCAAUCAGAUUCGUUUAUUUGCUGUGAUGUGCUGUUCGCGAGCAGCGUCACUCACGGGACGUGGAAGUCCCCUCAAUAACAAUCUACGAACGACGCACGAAAGAGAGAAAGCGUGUCUCCAAUCGGCCGUAAAUGACCAAAAACACAUCGACAGUAGCAUCCACUCCCACGGACAACCAAUGAGCAAAAAAAAACCGCAACAUGCUACGACACCUGCAGUGGCGCGCAUGGCCUCCAGGGGCACGAGCCACCCAGCACUGCUUCAAUACAUCAGAGCUUGUUCAAAGUGUGCACAGUGAACUCAAUCUGGACUUUAAAAUAUGAAUCAAUAACACAGUAUUCAACUAAUCUCCUUGGAGAAUCUUUGUUUUCGAAAAUGUCAUCCAUGAUUUCUAUUGUAUUUUCAGAGUAUUUCACGUUUGUCGAAACCCGCCCUGUAUUGUACAUUGUGUGCCCUCUCCAGUGAUAUGAAGCUCUGUUACUGUACUUUAACACUAUGGACAUCGUGUUUGCGGAUUUGCUUUCUUUCACUUUGCUUUGUGUCGCACUGUGUCUGUCCGUCAACCCUUAACACAUUCAUGACAAGGUGGCAACAUUUCACAAAAGGCUAGAUUACAAGUGUGCCUCCGUAUUUAAGUCCUUCACCUGACUUGCUUUGAAGAUAGUUAAACUUGUCUUUCCUCACGUGUCAUUGACUGACUGAAAAUCUCUCAUCCGUGGGGAAUCGGCUCUUUUGAUUCAAGCAGAGGAAUUGCCUGUGUGAGCCAGAUCGUUCAUGAAAGUCCCAUCCCUUGUACUGUCAGUAGUUCAUUCCAUGCGGACGCUACAUCUGAAGUCACUCUUCAACUCAACUUACCUUUAAUGGAAGUUGACUGACUGAAUCAGUACAAAGUCUGACUAAAUGUUGCCACCUUCAUGUCUUCUCUUUCACUUCGUGUUGGGUUUCUCUCGGAUGUACAUUUUACUUCAUGUGUACGACUAAUAUCACCAUAAGCUGUUCUAGUACGUUGUUCCUUGUGUUCGUCUGUGAAAUAAAGACUAUUUUAUCACAAAAAAAAAAAAAAAGACACAGCGGUGACCAGACUCAAUCGCUGGUACAGCGAUGAGUCUGGAUUUUUCCAGGCUAGUUCUGUUCCGCACAAUGGCCAGUUUCUACUACACCCACCGUUGUGCCUAUUUUUGGAAAGUCUAUGGCAUUUUUAAUGGAAUUUUUACAUCCUGG